UCGAUAUCCUCCUACUCUUAUUUUCCAUGGCGCUCUCUCUCUCUCUCUCUCUCUCUCUCUCAUCUGAAAUUCUGAAAAGCAAAUAAAGCUCACCUCCACAGAGAGAGAAUUGAGUGAGCCAGCCAUGGAGAACAGACUCUCAGCUUCUCUGGGCCUCCCAUCACCCAAUCAAGACACCACCACCUCCAUUCCCAAAACUCCAAUGACUUCCAUAGCCUCUUCACCCAUUUCUCACCCCAAAUUCCCAAUCUACCCUACCCAAAACCACAUCCCAUUCUUUGCCUCCACCACCUCCACCACCACCUCCCCCCCCCAAAUUGGUUCUCCAAUUCCCGAACCAACACCCGGCCCAAGACCCAGAUUUUACUGAAGAACCUCACGGUGUUCGAGGGCGCCCUCAUCGGCGCAGGCAUCGCCGGAGCCUUCACCUACUUCUGCCUCCACCCUCUGGACACCAUCAAGACGAAGCUCCAGACCAGAGGCGCCUCAGACAUCUACGCAAACACCUUCGACGCAGUCCUCAAGACCUUCCAGAUUAAGGGCAUCUCGGGAUUUUACAACGGCAUCGGCUCCACCGCCAUCUACUUCGGCACCUGCGAGCUGGGAGUUUGGUCAGGAUGAUAGUACCCUCUUUAGCUGUGAGGCUUUGAUGAAGAAAGGUUUUUGGGGGCUUUGCUAUGACCAAUAUGAGACUUCUCUCUUUAGUUGGUCUAAAGGUGUAGAUAAUGGUGAAAUCAAGGAUGAUAAGAAGGUCAAUAUGAAAGAUAACAAGCGAUGUUGAACUGAAUUUUGGCGACGUACGAUUCGUGAUAUCUUGAUAACCAUUUCAUACAUACAUGUGGCAAAUUUGUAUCGUGGGGCUUCGGAUUCUGCGAGUUCUUAUG